rnacentral:rRNA from 1 species
UUAAGCGACUAAGCGUACACGGUGGAUGCCCUGGCAGUCAGAGGCGAUGAAGGACGUGCUAAUCUGCGAUAAGCGUCGGUAAGGUGAUAUGAACCGUUAUAACCGGCGAUUUCCGAAUGGGGAAACCCAGUGUGUUUCGACACACUAUCAUUAACUGAAUCCAUAGGUUAAUGAGGCGAACCGGGGGAACUGAAACAUCUAAGUACCCCGAGGAAAAGAAAUCAACCGAGAUUCCCCCAGUAGCGGCGAGCGAACGGGGAGCAGCCCAGAGCCUGAAUCAGUGUGUGUGUUAGUGGAAGCGUCUGGAAAGGCGCGCGAUACAGGGUGACAGCCCCGUACACAAAAAUGCACAUGCUGUGAGCUCGAUGAGUAGGGCGGGACACGUGGUAUCCUGUCUGAAUAUGGGGGGACCAUCCUCCAAGGCUAAAUACUCCUGACUGACCGAUAGUGAACCAGUACCGUGAGGGAAAGGCGAAAAGAACCCCGGCGAGGGGAGUGAAAAAGAACCUGAAACCGUGUACGUACAAGCAGUGGGAGCACGCUUCGGCGUGUGACUGCGUACCUUUUGUAUAAUGGGUCAGCGACUUAUAUUCUGUAGCAAGGUUAACCGAAUAGGGGAGCCGAAGGGAAACCGAGUCUUAACUGGGCGUUAAGUUGCAGGGUAUAGACCCGAAACCCGGUGAUCUAGCCAUGGGCAGGUUGAAGGUUGGGUAACACUAACUGGAGGACCGAACCGACUAAUGUUGAAAAAUUAGCGGAUGACUUGUGGCUGGGGGUGAAAGGCCAAUCAAACCGGGAGAUAGCUGGUUCUCCCCGAAAGCUAUUUAGGUAGCGCCUCGUGAAUUCAUCUCCGGGGGUAGAGCACUGUUUCGGCAAGGGGGUCAUCCCGACUUACCAACCCGAUGCAAACUGCGAAUACCGGAGAAUGUUAUCACGGGAGACACACGGCGGGUGCUAACGUCCGUCGUGAAGAGGGAAACAACCCAGACCGCCAGCUAAGGUCCCAAAGUCAUGGUUAAGUGGGAAACGAUGUGGGAAGGCCCAGACAGCCAGGAUGUUGGCUUAGAAGCAGCCAUCAUUUAAAGAAAGCGUAAUAGCUCACUGGUCGAGUCGGCCUGCGCGGAAGAUGUAACGGGGCUAAACCAUGCACCGAAGCUGCGGCAGCGACACUGUGUGUUGUUGGGUAGGGGAGCGUUCUGUAAGCCUGUGAAGGUGUACUGUGAGGUAUGCUGGAGGUAUCAGAAGUGCGAAUGCUGACAUAAGUAACGAUAAAGCGGGUGAAAAGCCCGCUCGCCGGAAGACCAAGGGUUCCUGUCCAACGUUAAUCGGGGCAGGGUGAGUCGACCCCUAAGGCGAGGCCGAAAGGCGUAGUCGAUGGGAAACAGGUUAAUAUUCCUGUACUUGGUGUUACUGCGAAGGGGGGACGGAGAAGGCUAUGUUGGCCGGGCGACGGUUGUCCCGGUUUAAGCGUGUAGGCUGGUUUUCCAGGCAAAUCCGGAAAAUCAAGGCUGAGGCGUGAUGACGAGGCACUACGGUGCUGAAGCAACAAAUGCCCUGCUUCCAGGAAAAGCCUCUAAGCAUCAGGUAACAUCAAAUCGUACCCCAAACCGACACAGGUGGUCAGGUAGAGAAUACCAAGGCGCUUGAGAGAACUCGGGUGAAGGAACUAGGCAAAAUGGUGCCGUAACUUCGGGAGAAGGCACGCUGAUAUGUAGGUGAAGCGACUUGCUCGUGGAGCUGAAAUCAGUCGAAGAUACCAGCUGGCUGCAACUGUUUAUUAAAAACACAGCACUGUGCAAACACGAAAGUGGACGUAUACGGUGUGACGCCUGCCCGGUGCCGGAAGGUUAAUUGAUGGGGUUAGCGCAAGCGAAGCUCUUGAUCGAAGCCCCGGUAAACGGCGGCCGUAACUAUAACGGUCCUAAGGUAGCGAAAUUCCUUGUCGGGUAAGUUCCGACCUGCACGAAUGGCGUAAUGAUGGCCAGGCUGUCUCCACCCGAGACUCAGUGAAAUUGAACUCGCUGUGAAGAUGCAGUGUACCCGCGGCAAGACGGAAAGACCCCGUGAACCUUUACUAUAGCUUGACACUGAACAUUGAGCCUUGAUGUGUAGGAUAGGUGGGAGGCUUUGAAGUGUGGACGCCAGUCUGCAUGGAGCCGACCUUGAAAUACCACCCUUUAAUGUUUGAUGUUCUAACGUGGACCCGUGAUCCGGGUUGCGGACAGUGUCUGGUGGGUAGUUUGACUGGGGCGGUCUCCUCCUAAAGAGUAACGGAGGAGCACGAAGGUUGGCUAAUCCUGGUCGGACAUCAGGAGGUUAGUGCAAUGGCAUAAGCCAGCUUGACUGCGAGCGUGACGGCGCGAGCAGGUGCGAAAGCAGGUCAUAGUGAUCCGGUGGUUCUGAAUGGAAGGGCCAUCGCUCAACGGAUAAAAGGUACUCCGGGGAUAACAGGCUGAUACCGCCCAAGAGUUCAUAUCGACGGCGGUGUUUGGCACCUCGAUGUCGGCUCAUCACAUCCUGGGGCUGAAGUAGGUCCCAAGGGUAUGGCUGUUCGCCAUUUAAAGUGGUACGCGAGCUGGGUUUAGAACGUCGUGAGACAGUUCGGUCCCUAUCUGCCGUGGGCGCUGGAGAACUGAGGGGGGCUGCUCCUAGUACGAGAGGACCGGAGUGGACGCAUCACUGGUGUUCGGGUUGUCAUGCCAAUGGCACUGCCCGGUAGCUAAAUGCGGAAGAGAUAAGUGCUGAAAGCAUCUAAGCACGAAACUUGCCCCGAGAUGAGUUCUCCCUGACUCCUUGAGAGUCCUGAAGGAACGUUGAAGACGACGACGUUGAUAGGCCGGGUGUGUAAGCGCAGCGAUGCGUUGAGCUAACCGGUACUAAUGAACCGUGAGGCUUAACCUU